GUCCUUGUCGAUUAGUGGUUAAAUCAUCGCAUUGUGGAAACAUAAUCUGCGAAGCCGGAAGUUCGAAUCCUCCCUGGGACA
rfam:Rhizopogon vinicolor AM-OR11-026 unplaced genomic scaffold K503scaffold_3, whole genome shotgun sequence.